GAACGCUAGCUACAGGCUUAACACAUGCAAGUCGAGGGGCAGCAUGGUCUUAGCUUGCUAAGGCCGAUGGCGACCGGCGCACGGGUGAGUAACACGUAUCCAACCUGCCGUCUACUCUUGGACAGCCUUCUGAAAGGAAGAUUAAUACAAGAUGGCAUCAUGAGUCCGCAUGUUCACAUGAUUAAAGGUAUUCCGGUAGACGAUGGGGAUGCGUUCCAUUAGAUAGUAGGCGGGGUAACGGCCCACCUAGUCUUCGAUGGAUAGGGGUUCUGAGAGGAAGGUCCCCCACAUUGGAACUGAGACACGGUCCAAACUCCUACGGGAGGCAGCAGUGAGGAAUAUUGGUCAAUGGGCGAGAGCCUGAACCAGCCAAGUAGCGUGAAGGAUGACUGCCCUAUGGGUUGUAAACUUCUUUUAUAAAGGAAUAAAGUCGGGUAUGGAUACCCGUUUGCAUGUACUUUAUGAAUAAGGAUCGGCUAACUCCGUGCCAGCAGCCGCGGUAAUACGGAGGAUCCGAGCGUUAUCCGGAUUUAUUGGGUUUAAAGGGAGCGUAGAUGGAUGUUUAAGUCAGUUGUGAAAGUUUGCGGCUCAACCGUAAAAAUUGCAGUUGAUACUGGAUAUCUUGAGUGCAGUUGAGGCAGGCGGAAUUCGUGGUGUAGCGGUGAAAUGCUUAGAUAUCACGAAGAACUCCGAUUGCGAAGGCAGCCUGCUAAGCUGCAACUGACAUUGAGGCUCGAAAGUGUGGGUAUCAAACAGGAUUAGAUACCCUGGUAGUCCACACGGUAAACGAUGAAUACUCGCUGUUUGCGAUAUACUGCAAGCGGCCAAGCGAAAGCGUUAAGUAUUCCACCUGGGGAGUACGCCGGCAACGGUGAAACUCAAAGGAAUUGACGGGGGCCCGCACAAGCGGAGGAACAUGUGGUUUAAUUCGAUGGUACGCGAGGAACCUUACCCGGGCUUAAAUUGCAGAUGAAUUACGGUGAAAGCCGUAAGCCGCAAGGCAUCUGUGAAGGUGCUGCAUGGUUGUCGUCAGCUCGUGCCGUGAGGUGUCGGCUUAAGUGCCAUAACGAGCGCAACCCUUGUUGUCAGUUACUAACAGGUUCCGCUGAGGACUCUGACAAGACUGCCAUCGUAAGAUGUGAGGAAGGUGGGGAUGACGUCAAAUCAGCACGGCCCUUACGUCCGGGGCUACACACGUGUUACAAUGGGGGGUACAGAGGGCCGCUACCACGCGAGUGGAUGCCAAUCCCCAAAACCUCUCUCAGUUCGGACUGGAGUCUGCAACCCGACUCCACGAAGCUGGAUUCGCUAGUAAUCGCGCAUCAGCCAUGGCGCGGUGAAUACGUUCCCGGGCCUUGUACACACCGCCCGUCAAGCCAUGGGAGCCGGGGGUACCUGAAGUGCGUAACCGCGAGGAGCGCCCUAGGGUAAAACUGGUGACUGGGGC
rnacentral:rRNA from 1 species